rnacentral:rRNA from 1 species
CCUACGGGAGGCAGCAGUGGGGAAUUUUGGACAAUGGGCGCAAGCCUGAUCCAGCAAUGCCGCGUGAGUGAAGAAGGCCUUCGGGUUGUAAAGCUCUUUUGUCAGGGAAGAAACGGUGAAGGCUAAUAUCUUUUGCUAAUGACGGUACCUGAAGAAUAAGCACCGGCUAACUACGUGCCAGCAGCCGCGGUAAUACGUAGGGUGCAAGCGUUAAUCGGAAUUACUGGGCGUAAAGCGUGCGCAGGCGGUUUUGUAAGUUUGUCGUGAAAUCCCCGGGCUCAACCUGGGAAUGGCGAUGAAGACUGCAAGGCUAGAAUCUGGCAGAGGGGGGUAGAAUUCCACGUGUAGCAGUGAAAUGCGUAGAGAUGUGGAGGAACACCGAUGGCGAAGGCAGCCCCCUGGGUCAAGAUUGACGCUCAUGCACGAAAGCGUGGGGAGCAAACAGGAUUAGAUACCCUGGUAGUCCAGCCCUAAACGAUGUCUACUAGUUGUCGGGUUUUAAUUAACUUGGUAACGCAGCUAACGCGUGAAGUAGACCGCCUGGGGAGUGCGGUCGCAAAGAUUAAAACCGUAGAAAGUUAGUACGGCGNGNGAGAGCGACGACGACGACGAGGAGGAGGAGG